rnacentral:rRNA from 1 species
ACGCGUUGGGAGCUCUCCCUAUGGUCGACCUGCAGGCGGCCGCGAAUUCACUAGUGAUUAGAGUUUGAUCAUGGCUCAGAACGAACGCUUUCGGUAUGCUUAACACAUGCAAGUCGAACGGAUUUAUUUAGAGCUUGCUUUAAAUAAAUUAGUGGCAGACGGGUGAGUAACACGUGGGAAUCUGCCCAUCAGUACGGAAUAACAUUUAGAAAUAAUUGCUAAUACCGUAUAUUCUCUUUGGAGGAAAGAUUUAUCGCUGAUGGAUGAGCCCGCGCCAGAUUAGGUAGUUGGUAGGGUAAUGGCCUACCAAGCCAAUGAUCUGUAGCUGGUUUGAGAGAAUGAUCAGCCACACUGGGACUGAGACACGGCCCAGACUCCUACGGGAGGCAGCAGUGGGGAAUAUUGGACAAUGGGCGAAAGCCUGAUCCAGCAAUACCGAGUGGGUGAUGAAGGCCUUAGGGUUGUAAAGCCCUUUUCAGCAGGGAAGAUAAUGACGGUACCUGACCAAGAAAGCCCCGGCUAACUCCGUGCCAGCAGCCGCGGUAAUACGAAUCGAA